CUGGUCGAGAGUAUCUGCGCCGAAGAUAUAACGGGGCUAAGACAUGAACCGAAGCCGCGGAAGCGUGGUAACACGUUUGGUAGGAGAGCGUUCUGUAGGCCGUAGAAGGUGUUCUGGAAGGGAUGCUGGAGGUAUCAGAAGUGAGAAUGCAGGAAUGAGUAGCGAGAAGGAGGGCGAGAAUCCCUCCGGCCGGAAGUCCAAGGUUUCCAGGGGAAGGUUUGUCCGCCCUGGGGGAGUCGGGACCUAAGCAUAAGCAGAGCUGCGAAGGCGAAUGGAAAACAGGUUAAUAUUCCUGUACCGCUGUGGACUGAUUGAGAGAUGGAGUGACGCAGGAAGGUAUGCGGGAAGGCUGACGGAAUAGCCUUUCUAAGGGUGAAGCGUGGACAUAUAGGCAAAUCCGUAUGUUUAAACGUGAGGCCUGAUGGGUAAGUGCAUUAUGGCAUAAGCCGCAGAUCCUACACUGCCGAGAAAAACUUCUAUUUAGGGAAACAGCGCCCGUACUGUAAACCGACACAGGUGGACAGAGUGAGAAACUUAAGGCCGACAGGAUAACUCUGGCUAAGGAACUCUGCAAAAUGGCCCCGUAACUUCGGGAGAAGGGGUGCCCGUGUUAACUGAAGAGAGAGACACUUGGAGGUGAAGCGGGUCGCAGUGAAGAGUCCCAAGCAACUGUUUACCAAAAACACAGGUCUAUGCUAAGCUGGAAGGCGACGUAUAUGGGCUGACACCUGCCCAGUGCCGGAAGGUUAAGAGGAGGAUUGAGAGAUUCGAAUUGAAGCCCCGGUGAACGGCGGCCGUAACUAUAACGGUCCUAAGGUAGCGAAAUUCCUUGUCGGGUAAGUUCCGACCUGCACGAAUGGUGAAAUGAUUUGGGAGCUGUCUUGGCCGGAGACCUGGUGAAGUUGUAAUGCCGGUGAAGAUACCGGUUACCUGCAGUAGGACGGAAAGACCCCGUGGAGCUUUACUGUAGCCUGGCAUUGGGUUUCGGCAAUGAGUGUAUAGGAUAGCUGGGAGGCAAAGAAGAUAUGGCGUCAGCUGUAUUGGAGCCGCUGUUGGAAUACCAGCCACGCAUUGUUGGGAUUCUAAUCUCAUAAGAUGGGAGACAGUGCUAGGUGGGCAGUUUGACUGGGGCGGUCGCCUCCAAAAGAGUAACGGAGGCGUUCAAAGGUUCCCUCAGGCUGGAUGGAAAUCAGCCGGAGAGUGCAAACGCAAAAGGGAGCUUGACUGCGAGACUGACGGGUCGAGCAGGCACGAAAGUGGGAGUUAGUGAUCCGGCGGUUCUGAAUGGAAAGGCCGUCGCUCAACGGAUAAAAGCUACCCCGGGGAUAACAGGCUGAUACUUCCCAAGAGUCCAUAUCGACGGAAGUGUUUGGCACCUCGAUGUCGGCUCGUCUCAUCCUGGGGCUGGAGAAGGUCCCAAGGGUUGGGCUGUUCGCCCAUUAAAGAGGCACGCGAGCUGGGUUC
rnacentral:rRNA from 1 species